GAUGAACGCUGGCGGCGUGCCUAAUACAUGCAAGUCGAGCGAACAGACGAGGAGCUUGCUCCUCUGACGUUAGCGGCGGACGGGUGAGUAACACGUGGAUAACCUACCUAUAAGACUGGGAUAACUUCGGGAAACCGGAGCUAAUACCGGAUAAUAUAUUGAACCGCAUGGUUCAAUAGUGAAAGACGGUUUUGCUGUCACUUAUAGAUGGAUCCGCGCCGCAUUAGCUAGUUGGUAAGGUAACGGCUUACCAAGGCAACGAUGCGUAGCCGACCUGAGAGGGUGAUCGGCCCCACUGGAACUGAGACACGGUCCAGACUCCUACGGGAGGCAGCAGUAGGGAAUCUUCCGCAAUGGGCGAAAGCCUGACGGAGCAACGCCGCGUGAGUGAUGUAGGUCUUCGGAUCGUAAAACUCUGUUAUUAGGGAAGAACAAAUGUGUAAGUAACUAUGCACGUCUUGACGGUACCUAAUCAGAAAGCCACGGCUAACUACGU
rnacentral:rRNA from 1 species